rnacentral:rRNA from 1 species
UACGUAGGGGGCCAGCGUUGCUCGGAAUUACUGGGCGUAAAGGGUCCGUAGGCGGUGCGGCAAGUCGAGAGUGAAAUCCCUAGGCUUAACCUAGGGGCUGCUAGCGAAACUGCCGUGCUAGAGUGUGAGAGAGGCGAGUGGAAUUACGGGUGUAGCGGUGAAAUGCGUAGAUAUCUGCAGGAACACCCGUGGCGAAAGCGGCGCGCUGGACCACUACUGACGCUGAGGAACGAAAGCUAGGGGAGCAAACAG